rnacentral:rRNA from 1 species
UACGGAGGGUGCGAGCGUUGUCCGGAAUCAUUGGGCGUAAAGGGCGCGUAGGUGGCCCGGUAAGCGUGCGGUGAAAGCUCGGGGCUCAACCCCGAGUCGGCCGUGCGAACUGCUGGGCUUGAGCACUGUAGAGGCAGGCGGAAUUCCGGGUGUAGCGGUGGAAUGCGUAGAGAUCCGGAAGAACACCGGUGGCGAAGGCGGCCUGCUGGGCAGUAGCUGACACUG